AGAUCACCUGUGCCCUUCAGUCAUAAGAUGCAGGAGCAUUUUAGAGGUAUCUAUUUCUCCAUUUUUGAUUUGUUUUUUUUGUUUUUUUUUUUUUUUUUCAGAAUCUUAGGUAGUUCAGUCUGACCUCAAAUCACUAUCUAUCCGAGGACAACUUGAGACUUCUGAUCUUCCCCUACCUCCCAAGAGAACUCCAGUUUGGUUCCUGAAACCCACAUCAGGAAGCUCACAGCCACCUGUGAGUCCAACUCCAUGGGAUCUAACAGCCUCUUCUGGACUCUGCCAGUACCCUACACAUGUGGCAUAUACACAGAGGCCUGAGUGCAAACUGAAGGGCAGUGGGAGUGAAUUCUCUACGGGGAUGCUACCGGUGUGUGGAAGAAAAGUCAGACAUGACCACAAAAUUCAACCUCCAAAAUUUUGUGCUUCAUCUGCAAAAUGAGAAUAAUGCUGUGUGCCCUUGAGAGGCCUGGCUUUCUACCAUCUGAACUCAGGCUCCUCCCCCUGAACAUCUCUGAAACCUGGGCUGAGAUCAUAGCUCCCCUACAGUGCUCAGAGUGGGGGUGGGGAGGAAAAAUGUUAUCCACCCAACAUCCGAAGUUAUCUUCUCCCAAAUUUCAAAGGAAGAGCUAUGCUCCAGUUGCAUGGUGGUCAGUGGAACCGUAGGGGUAUGACUUGUCUUCCCGAGGAAUGAGGGCACUGUCUGACAAUACUUUUAUCAUAAGUUGGAGCAAGGGAAGUUAUUGGCCCUUGACAAGUAGCAAUCAGGAACACUGCACCCUAGGGUACACCAGUCAGCCCUCACAGCAAAUAUUCCGUCUAUCAGUUGCAAGGUGGAAACACUCACAGAAUAGAACAGCUUCAGCCUUGAUCCCUCUCUGCCUCUACCUCUUGUGUGGUGUUGGAUAGGGCACCUCAUUACUCUGGACCACAUUUAGUGUCCUGAGUAGUAGGAUAAGAUGGUUUGACCUGAUGAUCUAAAUGACCUGUCAUUCUCGAAGUUUUUGCGUACAGUGUUAAGUCUCCCAAGUCAAAACAAGCAUCCCCACCUCCGUUCCCUCAACCCUAAAAUAGGACUGAACAUCCUUACUUCAUUGUUCCUACUAUGGUAUGAGAGGAAAAGUUAACUAACAAUUAUAAAAUUGUCUUAC
rnacentral:lncRNA from 1 species